rnacentral:rRNA from 1 species
UGAACGCUGGCGGCGUGCCUAAUACAUGCAAGUCGAGCGAACAGACGAGGAGCUUGCUCCUCUGACGUUAGCGGCGGACGGGUGAGUAACACGUGGAUAACCUACCUAUAAGACUGGGAUAACUUCGGGAAACCGGAGCUAAUACCGGAUAACAUGUUGAACCGCAUGGUUUAACAGUGAAAGACGGUCUUGCUGUCACUUAUAGAUGGAUCCGCGCCGCAUUAGCUAGUUGGUAAGGUAACGGCUUACCAAGGCAACGAUGCGUAGCCGACCUGAGAGGGUGAUCGGCCACACUGGAACUGAGACACGGUCCAGACUCCUACGGGAGGCAGCAGUAGGGAAUCUUCCGCAAUGGGCGAAAGCCUGACGGAGCAACGCCGCGUGAGUGAAGAAGGUCUUCGGAUCGUAAAACUCUGUUAUUAGGGAAGAACAAAUGUGUAAGUAACUAUGCACGUCUUGACGGUACCUAAUCAGAAAGCCACGGCUAACUACGUG